GUCUAUGGCCAUGCCACCCUGAACAAGCCUGAUGUCUGAUCCCUGAAGCUAAGCAGGGUUGAGCCUGGUUAGUACUUGGAUGGGAGACCACCUAGAAAGACCAGGUGCUAUAGGCA
rfam:Pteropus alecto contig97837, whole genome shotgun sequence.